rnacentral:rRNA from 1 species
AUUGAACGCUGGCGGCAUGCCUUACACAUGCAAGUCGAACGGUAACAGGUCUUCGGAUGCUGACGAGUGGCGAACGGGUGAGUAAUACAUCGGAACGUGCCUAGUAGUGGGGGAUAACUACUCGAAAGAGUGGCUAAUACCGCAUGAGAUCUACGGAUGAAAGCAGGGGAUCGCAAGACCUUGUGCUACUAGAGCGGCCGAUGGCAGAUUAGGUAGUUGGUGGGAUAAAAGCUUACCAAGCCGACGAUCUGUAGCUGGUCUGAGAGGACGAUAAGCCACACUGGGACUGAGACACGGCCCAGACUCCUACGGGAGGCAGCAGUGGGGAAUUUUGGACAAUGGGCGAAAGCCUGAUCCAGCAAUGCCGCGUGCAGGAUGAAGGCCUUCGGGUUGUAAACUGCUUUUGUACGGAACGAAAAGCUCUGGGUUAAUACCCUGGGGUCAUGACGGUACCGUAAGAAUAAGCACCAGCUAACUACGUGCCAGCCGCCGCCGUAACAC